rnacentral:rRNA from 1 species
GUGGGGAAUAUUGGACAAUGGGCGCAAGCCUGAUCCAGCCAUGCCACGUGAGUGAUGAAGGCCCUAGGGUUGUAAAGCUCUUUCACCGGUGAAGAUAAUGACGGUAACCGGAGAAGAAGCCCCGGCUAACUUCGUGCCAGCAGCCGCGGUAAUACGAAGGGGGCUAGCGUUGUUCGGAAUUACUGGGCGUAAAGCGCACGUAGGCGGGUAUUUAAGUCAGGGGUGAAAUCCCAGAGCUCAACUCUGGAACUGCCUUUGAUACUGGGUACCUAGAGUAUGGAAGAGGUAAGUGGAAUUCCGAGUGUAGAGGUGAAAUUCGUAGAUAUUCGGAGGAACACCAGUGGCGAAGGCGGCUUACUGGUCCAUUACUGACGCUGAGGUGCGAAAGCGUGGGGAGCAAACAGGAUUAGAAACCCGGGUAGUCC